GCUUGUUUCUAGAUCCGAUUAACUAUUCACUUGACGUAUUAUUAUGUAAAUGCCUAUUUGUUUAUAUUACUUUAUCUGAAUUUAAUUAAUAAAAUAUGUUUACAAUAAGUCACAAUUUUAAAAGAAAACAAUUAUGGUCACAGUACGGUGAUCAACACGGAGCCUUGGCUCACACCGAUCAGCAAGCUAUAAAGGGCGUCAAACAUUUACUAGUGUUAUACCAUUCAAACGAUAUA
rnacentral:lncRNA from 1 species